CCAGCGAGAUGGUUGUGGAGGGAUGGUGACAGCACAUGGGCAGCCCGGUGCCGUGUCCACCGAGCCCUGGGAUGCCAAAAGCUCCCUCCUGUACCUCUCACAAAUCCCUGCUUCAAAGCAAGAAUUAAAAACAGGGCUCAGGUCGCCAUGCAAGCACCUGUUCCCCAUUCCCGCAUUGUUUACUCAUGCCAGGAUCCAUGUGGGCUUGAACCACUGGGGCUGUCAACCCCACAGCUCUGUGAACAGCCCAACAGUGAGACCUCAAGAAUGUCCCUGGGGACAUCUCCAGCCCAUUGUCACCUUGGCUGGCACCCUGUGUCCUGGGACAUGGGGCAAUGCCAUGUCCUGCUUGGGUGCAGGAUGGGUGCUGCAGCCUUGGCUGUGACACCCAUCACUGCUGCCCCGUUAUCCAUUCUUCCUUCUCAGCCAUCACCUUCCCAAAAUCUUUCUACCUCUGCAUCUCAGCGGGGGCUCAACUGGAGUGAUGCAGGACCAGGGCUGGUGAUGGUGUCAAUGGGCUGUUGGGGUGGUCCCCGUGGGCAGCCAUCCCCCACGACACAGCUCCUACCACACUGAAGCACACAUAGGCACCUUCUGUCCCAACAUCAAAGACGAAGUGUGAAGUGCAGAUUUCUGACUGCAUUAUAUGGUUGUCAGAAAUGGGCUGGCAUCCUUCUCUUCUCUGCAUUUUAAACUCCCCUUUCUCCCUUCCCCCCCCAUUCUUGAAAUGAGUAAUUUCCACUCCUGCAUGUUAACUUGUCCGUUUCUGUUCCCACCAGCAAUAAUUUGGCCACAUUCUCACCUUUGUGGCAUUUUCGCCCUUUCCUGAGAAAUGCAGAUCUCUGGGUGUGAUUUCCUGCCCACAGGAGGGCUGGCAGGGAGGGGUUCCAGGACAGAGGAGGGCUGUGGGGUGACACAAGAGCAACUCAUGUCACAUUUGCAGCCCUGUGGGCUACGGGAUACCUCCUGUGGGAAGGCUGGCUUCACAGCCUUUCCAUGGAGGGCUAGAGGUGGGAGAGGACUGAAAAGGCUGAGCCUUUUACAGGGGUUGGAAUUGUUUUAUUCUGGGGAACCAGAAAACCCCAAAUGUUCUUUGGUUACAGUUCUCUGAAAGCUGAAAACGAUCCUUUUGCCUAGGAGAAAAUUGUGAGAAGCCAACACAACUCCUAAAUAAAAGCCACUUCCAGUACCAGAGCAUCCCUGGGAUGGUGUGGUCCUUCCGUCACCUCUCAACCACAGGGUGGUCAUGGGGCAGGAGAACACCUCCUCACAGGCAAUUCUGUGCAAGAACCCCAAUCUGCAGCCAUCACCUGCAAAAGGAGUGGGGGUUGCACAGGGAGGGGCAGCAGGAUGCUGGUCACCCUGCUCCUUAUUGCUCUUCUGUGAUGGAAAUCACUGCACGCAUCAGGACUGCUAAGGAAGCUUUGCAUCUUCCCUGCCACGGGGAUAACCUGCCAUGGCAAAAUCCUCUUAGUGUUGUGCUCCUGGAUGUUUAAGUGAGAACUAAUCAGUGUGGAAGAUCAGGGCCGGCCAAGGGACAGUUAGCAGGGAAAGAAAAGGGAUGUUGACUCUUGUACCUAAUGGCAACACUUGAAGCAGACUCAAACAGCCAUCUCCAACACGUGCACUGGCUUGGUGAACUAAGAAACGUGGAGGAGAGCGUUGAGCAGGGGUUUUUCUUCACUGCAGGAUCCCAAAUACAGCAGGAACUCUUCACCUUGACAGGGAGGGUGACACCAGGCUGUCACUGCUCAAAAGCAGUGGAUUGCCAGCAGGCUCAUUACUGAGAUGCAGCUCCAGACAAACCCUGCAUGGGCACAAAGAGCGUGAAAUGUCCCUUGAUGUCCUCGUCACACAUUUUUGACCUCCUGCGGUGUGUGCUGAUGGUUGAAAGAGCAACAUCUGGGCAGGUGUGGAGAGGGGAAGGUGAAGAGCAUCUGCCUCCAUACAGUUCACUCUGCUCCAGCAAAUGUCUGGAGGAAACACCUAAGGCAAAGAAGGGAGGGGAACAGGAGCUACUACAAGCCCAGGACUAACAGGGAGAGAUGCAACAGUGAGAAACCCACAGGAGAAACAGUGCACUGCCUCUGGACUCAAGUAUCACUGGGAUACGAGUAGGUGUUGGAAGUAGGCUCUAAAAACUCUUUUUCUUUCCAUACACUCCAUAAUGGCACCAAAACAGAAGCCCUGUGACUGACCGCUGGGAGAAGGGUGGGCAGAAGAGGAUCCAAGAGGAGAAGCGAAGAAAUAAGAAGGAAAAUAGUGAGAGCAGUACUGAACUCAACUACAGUUGACCUCAAGCAGACCAGGCCCCAAAAGAAACUCAGCACCUUGAGUUUGAGCAGUCCUAUAACCAGCUCCAGGCAAGAGCGGUGCCAACACCGAGUUCCAAUGCUGGCAGAGCGACCUUCCAGCAGAGCUGUGUGUUUUAGCUGCUCGAUGAUACAAUAGAAAACUCCUCCAAAGCCCUGGCCCACUGGUGCAUUUCCUUAGCUCGCUGGAAUUUCCGUUUCGUUCUUCCUCUCCCAGGCUCUUACCGAAAAAUGGUGUCACCAUGCGCGUCCCUUUGUCGUGCUCCCCACGGGUGCUGGGUUCAGCUCACCCAUUUAUUAAUCACUCAAGGCAACUGUGCUGGUCAAGGGAAGAUUUACAAGGCGGCCAGGAAGUUCUUAUUUUUACAGGAGUGCCUCAAACACACGCACGCAGUAGGAAAAGCAAACAUUCCAGGCAUACCGAAGGAUCCGCGGGAUAAAAAUUCCCCAAGCUGCCCAGAUUAAGACACUCUCGGCACAUGGAAACACUAAAACCCGGACUCAAGGAUUUAAUGGUGUGAUUUAGCAGGCAGCCCGUAAGCUCUGCGUGGAACAACCUGAAUUGUAUGGGAGAAGCCCCUGUAGAUGGGCAGGGGGGGGGGAGCCCUUGCUACAAUAAAGGUCAGGGCUGACCCCUCCCCAUGCCCAGCUCCAUGUGGACACCAGAGCCUUGCAGCAGGAGUUUACAUGAGUUUGCCUUUGGAAACUUUCAGCUUCUCUCCUUCACAAUCCAGGCAAGGGAUACUGAACCAGUGCAGCACCUGGUACCAGCCCAGUGGAACAGAGAUGGAUGCUGCUGUGGCUCUGCUUGCCCAGACCACAAGCUGGAGAGCAGCGGUUGGUGCUCCAGCUCAACACAUAUUACCUCCUCCAAAGUCCUGGGGAGGUGAUCUCAGCUUAAGGACACAUUCCUCAAACACUGUCUGGGUUGGAUGACAGCAGAAUUUGGUCUCACCAGUGGCUUCCACAGGACAACAUGUCUCCUGGGCUGCUUGCCCAGCCUCACUGCCAACUGGUUCCCAAGUGCUGUCACCUGAUGAAGUGAACAGCAAUAUUUUUGCAUGCAUGGGUUUGGGUUUGCAAAGAAACAUAAGAAAAGCAGAAGGUAAAGAGCUCUUGAAGUUGCUACGUUUGCUUACAGAAGAACAAAUCAGCCUGAAUUCUGUGCUUCCCCUUUCUCUUUUGUACUUCCCUGUCAAAGGAUCUGUGCAGCAUAUUCACAAUGAUGCCCUUAGUCCUGAUGACACAUUGGGCAAUAACCUGGACUUCUUGCUGGGCUUUGCAUCUGUCUGAGUGAAGAAGAGGAAGAAGCACUAAAGAACAGUUAAGUGAAAAAGGUCAGAAAUCUUUGUGGGCUGGAAAUGUCCUGGAAGCUUCUGGAAGAGCUGUGGAGGGGACUGAUAAGGAAAUAAGUCAUCUGCUGAAAGGGAGCGUUAAAGACAAGCAUGUGCUUAAGAACAUCCUAGAGAAAAAUGCCAGUGAAAAGUGCCAACAAGGCACCCUCCACACACAAAGCAGAUAUGAAUUGCCCUCUGUGCCUAUCCCAAACUGCAAUCCAUCCAUUGGCACAAGCAUAGCCACCUGUCCCAACAGCUUGCCACAGUUCCCCUCCUGCAGCCACAGCAAGGAUGCUCCGCAAGAUCUGGGUGAACUAUCAAGAGCUUGCACCUCAGUGCACUGUCUGAACACUUACGUUCUUCGUCUCCUGUCUUUCCUGCUUCUGUUCAUCACCAGCCAAGGAGUUCAGGAGACCUUUUGGUGCUGAUGCACUGUUUGGAUACAAAGCCAUCCUUAUAGAAUGGGCUUUGUCCCAGUAACUGGGAUUGGCUUUAAUGCGUCUGCACCCCUUUCCUUGCUUGUGGUUUUAACUGUGCUUCUUGAUGGUUUCCCCAGCAGGAUUCUCCUAACAGUGAGUGUAAGCUUGGUAAUUUGCAUCCACACAGUGCAGCACAUGCUUCAAUUCACUGCAGGCUCUGCGCAGUGCAGGACUGAGUUCUGUGACUACAGGCAUAAAAAAUUACCAUAAAAUCUGCACUUUCCAUAAAUGGCUCCUGGUGUAGAUUUGAUCACCCCUGCAGAUCUUACUGAGAUCAACGGUGAUUUUUGGUUCUGUAAAUUCUUGCUGCCAGCUGAGGCCAGGCCACCACAGCAUGGCUGGGGCGGAGCCUUUCCCGUGCUACACCACGAGCCAGCUGCAUUUAGCAAAUCUAACGUGGCAUUGCAGAGACGUGAGUCAUCAUCACCAGCCUUGUUUUCACAGAUAUUCUCAGCGCAGAUCCGCGCCGCAGUAUUUUUGUUUGCCCCUGACCGUAAAAAUAUGACACAUCCAGCUCACCCCAUGAUAACAAGACCUUGCUUAUUAGGAUCGGUAAACAAAAUCACUCCUUGCAGCCUGACAGCCACUACUCACACUGCUCAGAAGGUGGUGUUGGGUUGACAGAAGCCCCACAGGGCCUCUUCCUCAGGAUCAUCACACUGCCUGGCCAUCUUGGUGCUGCUGCUCCCACAGGCCUGCAUCCUUGCUGGGGAUGUGGGGAGUGCAGGUUGUGGUGGGGGAAUACUAAGGAUGAUGAGACUUCCUAAAGAGAGAGCUGACUGAGAUGCUUGGGGCACUUUUUGCCUUGCCUUGCCUUGCCCUACCUUUAGGCACCCUUCCCUGAAAGCAAAUUGGGAUGGAUGGGCAGAGAAGGUCCUAAGGCCACUCCACCGCUGGCUGCAUUCAGAGCAGGCACAGAGGAUGGCACAUCGAUAACCUUCCAAUCCAUGGCCCAGGGGCUGCUGCCUGGGGUCUGGCCCUCUGGCCUUAGCCAGGAGCAUGGCACUUUGCAGCACGAGCCUUGCCCUUCAGAGGAGCUGCUUUGCAAAGAUUGGAUUUGGAACAGACACCUCACUGGCACACAGCUGGGGUCUGGCAAGACAACAUACCACCUCCACACAAGCUCUUGUGCCCAGUCUUUCUCGGUCCACGAGGCUGUGGAGACAGUGCUGUCCCUUCUGAGCUGAGUGAUAAAGGACACGGAGCCCACAGGAAAGGAGAAAUGUCUGGGUGGCGUCAGUGGGCAGCCUAAAAGACAGGCAUGAAUUCAGACUUGCCCUGCUUAGCUGAGCUAGGAGUUGAGUCAAUGUCCCACAACUCCAUAUCCCGAGGAACAGAAAUUGGUGCUUUAAAAACAUUUAUUAUUCAGGAAUGGCUUCUCUGUACUCUGCCCAGAUUGACACUUGGGUACAAGACUGUCCCUGCCUGCCAAAUCAUCUCUUUUUGGGGGGAACACAGGGCCAAACUAUGAGGUUCUCAAGGGAAAGUCACCUCUGUCCCAACAGCAUGCUGCCACACAUGGUGUCCACACACACAUGAGACUGAUUACCCAGCCAGACAUGCUGGAGAUGGGGACGCUAGGUGAAAUAUGUUCAGCUUGCUAUGAUGAACAAUAAACACACUCUGCUAAACAGAAAUGGGCUUAGAUUUAUUCCUGUCUCAAGCAGGAAACUAGAAGGGAUAAUACAGAAUUAAGCUGUGAAGUUAACCUUCAGCUAUGUAAAUUAUAGGGAACGAAAAAUGCAGUCAAUGUGAAACAGUAUUAUAAAUGCACCUUAACUACAGGCACUGUAUUGUACAGUGUAAUCUUGCAAGCUGGGGCAGUGGAAAACAGCAAGUAAGUUUCAGCCUCUGAGCUAUCUGGGGUGAAAAAUAUUUUUCCAACCGCUUCUGCUGUCGCACACUAUUCCACUUGAUAGCAACUGUAAGAAAUGGGCUGACCAGCUAAACACACACUAGUCAUAAGGUAGCUAUGUUGACAAAUUGAAUCAUAUUUUGUGGGAUUAGACCCAAGGCAAAGAAUUUGGAAGAUUAGCAACUGAGCAAUGUGAAAGCACUGCCAAGCUCAUGUUGCUGAGACUCGUACUGCUGGUUUGGGAGCGCUGCGCUGCAAGCCCACGUGCCAAACCCCUCCUCUUUGCGAUUUGGAACCAAUAUUUGCACAAAGUGAAGUGAAAGCACGGGCACUGACAGCUAGAUAGACUGCACACUGGGGUUUUAUCGGGGUUGUUUUUGUAGGGCACAAGGUCCAGAGCCAAAGGACAGCGACGACGUAGAUCGUGGCUGUUGAGCUCAGUGGAACCCUGUCGGCUUUAGACCAGGGGUGUGGUAGGGGGUAUGAGGAAGCAUCUUUUUGGCAAUGAGCUUUUUGGAACAGCCCCAUGCCACCUGGACAUCCCCAACACACAUGAAAUAAAAGGAUUUUAAUGACAGAUUACAUGUGUUAUUCUUUAUAUGCCUAAAAUUACUCACCAUUCUUUAGCAUCCAGAUCAGUGAAUUACAUUGUUUCCACACUGACACUACUAUAAAGGCAGGGACUUUGGGUAACACAUUAUCAGCGACCCCAGACUCUGGAAUCAAUGCAGUCACUACCAGGAUCAGAGAUGGAACACAAGUAACCCCCAUGUAUUUAAAUGCCCAGUAACAGGAUUCUGGAUGUACGUGCACUGAAUGCCAUAAUUUUGAGUCACUACACAUCAGCGUACUGAGGAAGA
ensembl:lncRNA